UCCGUGUUUUAGUGCAUGAAGUGGCUGCGAGGGUUUUCGCGACAGUGGUGGAUAAAAGAAAGUGUAGCCAAAGCUGUCCUGGAACUCAAGAUCCACCUGCCUCUGCCUCAUUCAGCAAGUUCUACCCACUUGCACCACCAGAGCCGGCGGGAGUUGAUGCUCUUCUGAGAAUACUUAUCGGUCACGUACAGUGACGUCACUGGUCAACUUCCUGACAGGAUUCUGCUCUGAAAACCGCGCACCACGUCCACAGGACGCCCUGGCCGCCGUGUCUACACGCCCUUCGCCUUUCCCACGCACACUCCCGGCCUGACGCCAGCCGCCCCGGCUCCAGGGAACCGCCAGGACGCGAGCCCCGAAGGCUCCUCCCGCCACGCGCCAGUGCGCAGCCGUGUGGACGGGGCCUGCGUGUCUGCAGGAGCCGGUGCGAGCUGGGUGCCGGUAGCCAAAGGAGGCUGGCCUCGAACUCCAGAUCCUCCUGCCUGUGCGUCCUUCAGGAAUCCGCACCAGCGCACAACCGUGAACAGACGACUGUCCCCUUCGUCCUCACCUAGGUAGCAUUCAUUCCAGAGGACGUCAGCCCUCCCCGCCCGGGGAAAGAGUCUGGAUUUCAGCUGAGAAAUGUCUUCUUCUGUACAGAAAUUUGAUCGAAUCCUGCCUGCUUUUGCUUAUGAAAAACGUAACCAUGCUGCCGUCAUGACACGGCCCAAGAAUGGAGUCGAGUGAGAAGCCCGAGUGCUUGAGGUGCUUGUGUGACACUCCAAGAAAACAGGACAAGAGUCCUGUGACUUGGGGCUGGAGAGAUGGCUCAGAGUUUAAGAGAACUGGCUGUACUUUUCAAGAUCCUGAGUUCAAUUCCAGCAAUUCGCAGCAACCACAAGGUGGCUCAUCACCAUCUAGAAAAAAUGAGAUCUAGUGGCCUCUUCUGGCAUGUGGGUACACAUGCAGGUCAAAUGCUAUAUAAAUCAUAAAUGAAUAAAAUAUUAAAAACAAAACAAAACCGAGUCUUGUUUCUUUAAAACAUAAAAUGUUCUUGGAUGUGUUUUUGUGCUCUGCUAGGUGCAGCAGAAAAAAAAGUGACUUUUCCAGACUGCUUAUUAUUACUGAUUGAUAAUCUUUAAAUUGUUUUUUGUGUGCCUCUCUGGAAAACUGUAUUUGCCAUGCUCAGCUUGCCUUUGUUAUUGUAUUCAGCUUGAGCUUUCUUAACCCUCAAUAUAAAUUGUCUGCUGCUCUGAAUAAAGUAGGCUGUAGGUCCUCCUGCCUCUGGAGUGGUGAUGCAUUGCUCCUUGUUAUGCCAGUAAUUAUGAAUUCUGCUAAAAUAUAUAACUUAAGUAUGAAGCAUCAGUUCUCCUACUGCAAUCUCCCAUGCAGUCUCCCACAGUAAGAAAAUGAAACACCGAAGAGCAAAUAGCUCUUGACUUCUUUGUGAUCUACACACACUUAUGGCUUAGAUGCCAAGUAUGCCCUAACUGGGCACAUACUGAGCCCUCAGUGUCCAGCUGCUGAUACUACCACAUGGGUGACUGGACAAUGAGGACAUUAAUUCUGUCAAUGGAUUAACCAACUGAUGAGUUCCCAGCUGAAUGAUGUGACCCUCACAGGAAGGCGCCAUGCCUUUGAAAGGCCUAUCUGGCCUGUGUCUCCUUUCUUCUCUGCUCCUGUGUUCUACAGGUGAGCAGCUUUGCUUGUCUCUGCCCUUCCACUGAGGUUCUGCGUUGCCACAGGAAUCACAGCAAUGGAGCAACAGACCAAAGGCUGAGACGUCUUCACUUAAAAAUAAGAACUGCUGGAUGUUGAGAGAUGAGAACCCACAGAAAGGGGGAGAAUAAAAAUCAUUCAUAGAAAAGUAUGUUGUUCUCCUCCCCCCCCCACCCCCCGGGAGAAGUUGAGGAUAUGAUUAUUGUACAAAAGCAGUUUGCUACUAUUUGUCCUAGUAUGGUUUAUGAAUUAUGUUUCUCUGGAUGCUAUGGAUACUUCAGAUAUAUAUAUAUAUGAAAUGUGUUCUUUUUUUCUUUAGGUCAACUGAAAAAAAAUUUC